GGAAACAGCUCAGUGGUUUGAGCGCGGUGCUGACAACAAUGACCAACACUGAGAUCGCGGGUUCGAUUCCCGCUGUGUCCC
rfam:Apaloderma vittatum contig91378, whole genome shotgun sequence.